GAGACCUCAGGUCAGGCGGGGCUACCCGCUGAAUUUAAGCAUAUCAAUAAGCGGAGGAAAAGAAACUAACAAGG
rnacentral:rRNA from 2 species